AUGUGCUACAAAUUAAGUUCCCACUUAACUAUGUUGCAUGAAUUACAAAAUAACCAUGUAUUUAUUAUUUUCUUUAAGGAUGAAAGAGCUUAUGCACCAUGCAGAUUUCUAAAACCAACUUACUUACACGCAGACGUUCAGCCAGCACUGAGGCUACAGCCACCAGAGAAGACGCCGUUCACGUUAUCUGCCUCUGAAAGUUGCCAAAGUAUUAAUAUGUUUCUUGGUAUGAGUGUUGUGCUCUUUGUGACAAAAAUCUGCUGUUAUUUUUACUAUCUUUGGGAUGGUUUAAGAAGUAAAUAAGAGGGAGAAGGGGAACAAGCAAAGGGGUUUCAUUUCUUAUGUCUCUCUAUCAACAAGGACAAACAGAGAUAAAGUUUCUUGAAGUCAGAUUGUACAAGCUUUUUUUUUCUGAAGAAACAUACCUUACAUACUGUAAUAAUCUAUGAAAAUACAAAUCUGCAUUGGUUUAUUUUAAUAAAGAACGCGAUCAAACACUGUUCUGUUUUCUGUUUAGACCAUGUUGUGUCCUGGGCUCAUGUUCCCCUGUCUUUCCAGCACAUAUAUGUUAAUGUUAUUCCACUGUGGAAAACACUGCAUGUACCAUGUCUAAACUCUGUUCUGAUAACCCAUCGGCCCUGAUGAACCAGGUCAGGCUAUGUUCUCUUAUAAUGUGAUUAAGGGGCAUUUCCUAAUUGGAUCAGAGUAUUGGCUUAUCUACUCUUUCUUGCCCACUCACAUGACGCAUUUGCGGGUACAUUUAAAUACACAUUUCUGACUAAUGAAAAGUUGUCCUGUGUAUAUGCAAUUUAUACUUACAAUAAUACAAUUUAAAGAACAAAUACCAAAUGACAGCACAGCAUGCUGGUUCUUUAUAUGUCUAAAAUUACGAUCCCUAUUAAGAGCUGAACCUUUUAUCUUAUCUAAGAAAGUAAAUUGAAUAUCAAUGGCUCCCAAAUUGGGGUUUGGGGGCCCUUUUUUAGACACUACAAGGGUGUCCUCAAAUAUUGUCUACACAUCAAACAAAUGUAGUUGGAAAAUAAGGGUAACACUUUAUUUUACACUAUCCUUGAUACAUUGUACCUACCAAAUUUAGUACAAUGUAAUGUGCAAUAACUUGUACCAAUGGGCAAAAUACACCAUUGAAUAUGGUGUAUUUUGUGUCUAUGUAGUUUGGAAUAUAAACCCUAACCUUAAAGUGCACAUGACACAUAGACACAAUUGUUACCCAGCUUUCUUUAGUUUGGUGAUGUUUAUAGUUUCACUUCCUUAUUGGACACUGACAGGAAGUGACAUAGAUGAAGGACAACAAUUUUAAACUGUUGCCGAGCAACCAUGUUAUGUCAAUGGGAAAUGAGUCAAACUUCUGUGGACCUCGAUCUAUGUCACUUCCUGUCAGCAGCUUAAACAAUUCUAAUAAAAAUAUAUUUUCUGCUAAAUAUUUUCUUCAUUCAAAUUGCUGCUUCACUGAAAUUAAAUUAUAAUUACCGGUAUGCAACUGAUGAACUUGCAACUGAUGUUAUUCUUCUAAAUAGAAAAGUAAUAUUUUCAAAAGCAUUCAAACCUGUCAUAUGCACUUUAAGCCCUAACCCUAAGAGUCUUAUGCCUUAUUACAUUAUACCCUCGAACUGUUAAUACACACUAUUCCAUUGUGUACCUACUAAAUAGGCACAAGUUAUUACAGAUUAUUGAAUAGCACUGUACUAAAUUUGUUGUUUAUCAUUCAAAUUUCAAUUAUCUGAACCAAAUAAAUUAUUCUUUAAUUCUUUUAUAGUCAUUUAUGCACUGAACAAUGAACACACAAAUGCUUUCCCUUUUUAAAGGAAUAGGCCACCGUUUUUACAUACUGAGAUAUGUUCUUACCUUAGCUUAGAGGAGUUCAUCUGUACCUGUCUGGUCUGCACGUGUGCCUUCUGUAACGUAAACACAGCACAGACGGCGUUAGCAUUUAGCCUCUCUCUUCCAUACCAGGAGUACUUCAGCAUCCGCACAGUAAAGUGAAGAUAUUACUGUGCGGAUGCCGAACUACUCCUGGUAUUAUUACGCCUUACAAUAUAGUUCCCCUUUUUAUCCGCUUAGAAAAUCCACAUUGUUUAAUUUUGUGUAAUUAUACUUUAUAGUGUAACACUUCACCUAACCAUAUUUAAAUAGGGAAAACGU
ensembl:lncRNA